CCGCCCCCGACGACAAGGUAGCCAGGUGUGGCUGCCUUCCUCUACGAGAGGAUAGUCGGGGGUGUUUUA
rnacentral:sRNA from 1 species